CUGCCCUCAAGCCCGGCUUGUGUGUUGGGGCCCUGCGCGGCAGGCCCCGAAAGACAGCGGCGGGUGCGUCCCGGAACCGAACGCAGUAGUUACUUCUCGUUCUGGCCCAGGGCGCGCUCCAGCCGUAAAACCCUUUCUUACAAC
rnacentral:misc_RNA from 1 species